rnacentral:rRNA from 1 species
GACGGAGGGGGCAAGCGUUGUUCGGAAUUAUUGGGCGUAAAGGGCUCGUAGGCGGACCUGCCAGUCUGGCGUGAAAUCUCCACCGCUCACCGGGGAGAGUGCGUUGGAUACUACAGGUCUUGAGUGUAACAGAGGUUCGUGGAAUUCCGGGUGUAGCGGUAAAAUGCGUAGAUAUCCGGAGGAACACCAGUGGCGAAGGCGGCGAACUGGGUUACUACUGACGCUGAGGAGCGAAAGCCAGGGGAGCAAACGGG